AUCUUGCGCAAUGGCCGAAAGGCUGACGCAGCGACGCCGCGUGCGGGAGGACGCUCUUCGGGGUGUAAACCGCUGUCAGCGGGGACGAACCCGUGGGGGAGGAAAUGCCCCCACGUUGACGGUACCCGCAGAGGAAGCACCGGCUAACUCCGUGCCAGCAGCCGCGGUAAUACGGAGGGUGCGAGCGUUGUUCGGAUUUAUUGGGCGUAAAGCGCGCGCAGGCGGUGAUUUAAGUCUACCUGUGAAAGGCCGGGGCUCAACCCCGAGCUUGCAGGAGAUACUGGAUCGCUGGAGUCAGGUAGAGGCGAGCGGAAUUCCGGGUGUAGCGGUGGAAUGCGUAGAGAUCCGGAAGAACACCAGAGGCGAAGGCGGCUCGCUGGACCUGAACUGACGCUGAGGCGCGAAAGCGUGGGGAGCGAACAGG
rnacentral:rRNA from 1 species